GUGGGGGUCCUUGAAAAGGAGGUGGCAUGUAACCAUGGAAAGCAUAUGGUGCUGGUGGAGGUGGCUGUGCCGGCUGUUGAAAUUCUAAUCUUACUGGAUAAGCCGGCUCUUGGAGAUUUAGUGCAUAUGGGCCUUGUGCCCACGCUUCUGCCGACGCUUACGGCUAUUGUUCGUGCUGCCAUCCUUCAUGGACUUCUCAUAACUUGGUAUAUUCUGAAACUCUGCCUACCAAUAGCUUGAGCUAGGUGGUGGCACUAGUAUUUCUAGAGCUACUAUGAUGAUGAGCCUUCUUCUAUUCUUUGUUCUCUCUUAUCUUUCUUGGCUGGAAAUAAAAUUCCUUCUUCCCGCCGGUUAGUCUUGCGCACAUGAUAGAUUCCCAGUCUUCUAUCGGCAAACUUGAAAUUAGUGACUCCAACUAUAUAUCCUUUC
rnacentral:lncRNA from 1 species